AGGUCCGUUACUUUUCGGACAGACCUCAUAUUUCUGUUCUAAGGUUAAACAUUUUAACAUGGACUUCUAUGGGAAAGUGCUCUGUUUUAUUGCCACCCUCAAGCAGCCAGUCAAGGAAAUGCAACUUUUUCUGCUUCCAGUUGAGCUUCAUCUGAGGCCAUCAAGGUUUCUUGACAGAUGUGCAUGCACAGGAGCCUCUUUUUUUUUGGCGAUGAAUUCAGUUUGAAUAUUUGUGACUAAAAUAAAAUACAGACAAAAACAGAAGUAGUCAGAACAUGAAUGUAAAUGAAUUUUUUUGGAGCUACAUUCUUGCACCAAAGCUUUGUCUAUCGUAACGUCUAGUUUGGCUAGUAAUGUUUUCUAAAGACAUGUUGCUAGGUUUUAGUCAGUAUGCGUUUGUCAGUAGACGACACACGGACAUUGGUCACUGUGACUCUGGGUGCUGGUACAUAAGAUGACGGCCUCAACCCUGAACCCAUGUUCACAUUUACACUUGAAAAGUAUUGCUUAACAUUUAACUCCACAAACUGGAGGGUUGUUUUUUUUUUGUUUUUUUGUUUUUUUUGGGGGGGGGG